UUUCAUAAUCCUGAAUGGCUGUCAAAAUAUGUUGAAGAUAAUGCUGUAAGAGGAAUUACAACUUCUGACCCUGCACGUGUGAUGCUGACGUCACCAUCCCCAACCCCUUCUUUUGCAUUACAACCGAAGAGGUGCCAUCACCUUCACCAUUUUGUUCAAAACUAUGAAAGACAUUAUUUUAAGUAUUCAGAAAGUACAAGGCAUCUGGAAAUCUAACGUCAUGCACAGAAGAGUCAACACCGCAGGCCUGAGAUACCCCAGAGAAGGCCUGCUUGCCCUUGGCUGGUGACUGGGAGGCUGUUCCCUCCGUUCCCUGAAAAGAAUGGCUCACGGACCUAAGCUGUUUGUACAAACAAUGUGGUUUAUGCUAAACGUCUCGCCUUCUGGGAGUCUGGAAUUUCAGCACAGGCCAGGCAGAAGGUGCCCACCUGGCCAGCCCCCAGUAAAACCCUGGGCACCGGCUCUCUAAGGGGCUUACCUGGGAGACACCUGCAUGCACUGUGGAAUCAAGCUUGUUGCAUGACUGUCAGAGACACCUAGACACUUCCGCCGGUCUCCUGGGGGGUCUCAGCCCUGCGCCUUUUCCCUCUGCUGAGCCUGUUUUGUGUCUUUUCACUAGAAUAAAUCUUAGCCCUCAGAA